CUGGAGGUAUCAGAAGUGCGAAUGCUGACAUAAGUAACGAUAAAGCGGGUGAAAAGCCCGCUCGCCGGAAGACCAAGGGUUCCUGUCCAACGUUAAUCGGGGCAGGGUGAGUCGACCCCUAAGGCGAGGCCGAAAGGCGUAGUCGAUGGGAAACAGGUUAAUAUUCCUGUACUUGGUGUUACUGCGAAGGGGGGACGGAGAAGGCUAUGUUGGCCGGGCGACGGUUGUCCCGGUUUAAGCGUGUAGGCUGGUUUUCCAGGCAAAUCCGGAAAAUCAAGGCUGAGGCGUGAUGACGAGGCACUACGGUGCUGAAGCAACAAAUGCCCUGCUUCCAGGAAAAGCCUCUAAGCAUCAGGUAACAUCAAAUCGUACCCCAAACCGACACAGGUGGUCAGGUAGAGAAUACCAAGGCGCUUGAGAGAACUCGG
rnacentral:rRNA from 1 species